AACAGGAUUAGAUACCCUGGUAGUCCACGCCGUAAACGAUGAGUGCUAGGUGUUGGGGGUUUCCGCCCUCUGUGCCGAAGGUAACCCAAUAAGCACUCCGCCUGGGGAGUACGGCCGCAAGGCUGAAACUCAAAGGAAUUGACGGGGGCCCGCACAAGCGGUGGAGCAUGUGGUUUAAUUCGAAGCAACGCGAAGAACCUUACCAGGUCUUGACAUCCCGCUGAUCGGUGUAGAGAUAUGCCUUUCCUUCGGGACAGCGGUGACAGGUGGUGCAUGGUUGUCGUCAGCUCGUGUCGUGAGAUGUUGGGUUCAGUCCCGCAACGAGCGCAACCCUUGUCGUCAGUUGCCAGCACGUAAAGGUGGGCACUCUGGCGAGACGGCCGGUGAAAGCCGGAGGAAGGUGGGGAUGACGUCAAAUCAUCAUGCCCCUUAUGACCUGGGCUACACACGUGCUACAAUGGCCGGUACAACGGGUAGCGAACCCGCGAGGGGGAGCCAAUCCAAAAAACCGGUCUCAGUUCGGAUCGCAGGCUGCAACUCGCCUGCGUGAAGCUGGAAUCGCUAGUAAUCGCGGAUCAGCAUGCCGCGGUGAAUCCGUUCCCGGGCCUUGUACACACCGCCCGUCACACCAUGAGAGUUUGUAACACCCAAAGUCGGUGGGGUAACCUUUUAGGAGCCAGCCGCCUAAGGUGGGACAGAUGAUUAGGGUGAAGUCGUAACAAGGUAACC
rnacentral:rRNA from 1 species